rnacentral:rRNA from 1 species
UGUUGGUGGGGUAACGGCUCACCAAGGCGACGAUCCCUAGCUGGUCUGAGAGGAUGACCAGCCACACUGGAACUGAGACACGGUCCAGACUCCUACGGGAGGCAGCAGUGGGGAGUAUUGCACAAUGGGCGCAAGCCUGAUGCAGCCAUGCCGCGUGUAUGAAGAAGGCCUUCGGGUUGUAAAGUACUUUCAGCGGGGAGGAAGGGAGUAAAGUUAAUACCUUUGCUCAUUGACGUUACCCGCAGAAGAAGCACCGGCUAACUCCGUGCCAGCAGCCGCGGUAAUACGGAGGGUGCAAGCGUUAAUCGGAAUUACUGGGCGUAAAGCGCACGCAGGCGGUUUGUUAAGUCAGAUGUGAAAUCCCCGGGCUCAACCUGGGAACUGCAUCUGAUACUGGCAAGCUUGAGUCUCGUAGAGGGGGGUAGAAUUCCAGGUGUAGCGGUGAAAUGCGUAGAGAUCUGGAGGAAUACCGGUGGCGAAGGCGGCCCCCUGGACGAAGACUGACGCUCAGGUGCGAAAGCGUGGGGAGCAAACAGGAUUAGAUACCCUGGUAGUCCACGCCGUAAACGAUGUCGACUUGGAGGUUGUGCCCUUGAGGCGUGGCUUCCGGAGCUAACGCGUUAAGUCGACCGCCUGGGGAGUACGGCCGCAAGGUUAAAACUCAAAUGAAUUGACGGGGGCCCGCACAAGCGGUGGAGCAUGUGGUUUAAUUCGAUGCAACGCGAAGAACCUUACCUGGUCUUGACAUCCACGGAAGUUUUCAGAGAUGAGAAUGUGCCUUCGGGAACCGUGAGACAGGUGCUGCAUGGCUGUCGUCAGCUCGUGUUGUGAAAUGUUGGGUUAAGUCCCGCAACGAGCGCAACCCUUAUCCUUUGUUGCCAGCGGUCCGGCCGGGAACUCAAAGGAGACCGCCAGUGAUAAACUGGAGGAAGGUGGGGAUGACGUCAA